rnacentral:tRNA from 1 species
GGAGGAUUCGCCUAGUGGUCUAUGGCGCCGUCUUGGAAAGGCGGUUGGGUUUUGCCCUCACGAGUUCGAAUCUCGUAUCCUCCG